rnacentral:lncRNA from 1 species
GUCAUCGCAAGUCAUCUAGGAUAUGGUUCUGCAAUUUUCAAAACGACUUGGUUUUGGAUUGGGUAUAAAUACCCUUGCUCAAGCUUAUUUACUUCAUUUUCUCUCUCUUCCAUUUUUCUCUCUCCACAUUCAACCAAAAACUAUAAACAUUUCCAAAAAUUGAUGGCAAAACCAAGUUCUCAGUGAAGCUCCGUCGCCUCCACCAACGUACGUUGUCGCCGAUGCAGGAAUCUUCCCAAAAUCCACUAAACAACUAUACUUGAUCUCCUCUUUCCUUUUAUCCAAACGAAUUCUUCCUAAAAACUUAGAUUAUCCUAGAUUUACAAAAGAAAAUCAACAUUGCCAUCCCCAGAAAAAGCCCUCUUCUGCUGUCUAAAACCAAAAAAUAUGCUUCCGAUUCGUAUUUCCAUUCUUUCCUUUUUUGAAGCCACCUAGAACACCAGCAUUAAAACAAUUCUUCCUUGACUUUUGCCGCCUGCAACCACCAACACCAAAACCUCCAAAAAGCUUUCUCAUUCUUUCCGUACUAUAAUCAAUCUAAAACACCGAAAAUAAACCAACUCGAACCCCCUACAAAACUUUCAACUAAUUUAUCUUAUUUUUGCAAUUUUUCUUGGAUUAGUCUUUUUACUAUUGAAAAGUCUAGAUUUGUUGUUGCUGGAAACUAUGUUGCUUUUGUGUUGAUUGCAUAAUUGUGGAUAUUGCUUUCUCUAUGAUUGUGGAUAUUUAAUUAUUCUCGUGAUCCUCCCGAAGAGCCUAGAAAACAACUAAUCCCAGAUUUUUCGUCUUCUCUGAAAUUUGUGUUUCGAUUCUGCUUGUGCCUUUGGUUUCUAUUUGAUUAUUAUGGAUUUUCCUGCUCUGUUGAUCGGUGAAUCGUUCUUUUUAUAGGGCUUUAAGUU